rnacentral:rRNA from 1 species
CCAUGAGUACAGUGGCGACCGGGUGAGUAACACGUGACUACCUACCCUUGAGUGGGGGAUAACCUCGGGAAACCGAGGCUAAUACCGCAUAAUAUCGAGAGAUCAAAGGAGAAAUCCGCUUUUGGAGGGGGUCGCGGCUGAUUAGCUAGUUGGUGAGGUAAUGGCCCACCAAGGCGAAGAUCGGUAUCCGGCCUGAGAGGGCGCACGGCCACACUGGAACUGAAACACGGUCCAG